rnacentral:rRNA from 1 species
GACGAACGCUGGCGGCGUGCUUAACACAUGCAAGUCGAACGGUGAAGGGGUCUGCUUUUGUGGGCCCUGGAUGAGUGGCGAACGGGUGAGUAACACGUGAGUAACCUGCCCCCUUCUUCUGGAUAACCGCAUGAAAGUGUGGCUAAUACGGGAUAUUCUGGGUCUGUCGCAUGAUGGGUCUGGGAAAGAUUGCGCCUUUGGGUGUUUUUGGUGGGGGAUGGGCUCGCGGCCUAUCAGCUUGUUGGUGGGGUGAUGGCCUACCAAGGCGGUGACGGGUAGCCGGCCUGAGAGGGUGGACGGUCACACUGGGACUGAGACACGGCCCAGACUCCUACGGGAGGCAGCAGUGGGGAAUAUUGCACAAUGGGCGCAAGCCUGAUGCAGCGACGCCGCGUGAGGGAUGGAGGCCUUCGGGUUGUAAACCUCUUUCGCCAGUGAAGCAGGCCUGCUCCCUGUGGGUGGGUUGACGGUAGCUGGAUAAGAAGCGCCGGCUAACUACGUG